UAAUUUUAUGAAAUUUCACAUCUUUUAGGCUGGGCUGAGAGAGAGAGAAACUUUAAAGUUCAUACCUAUAAAACAUAUACUGAUUCACUACUGCUGGCAAUUGUGUAUGAAUAUCUAAUACAUUCUUAUUGGUUAAUAAACAUGUAUUGAAUACUAUCUAUGAGACCUUGUGUUAUGAAAAUAAAUUUUAAAAAUCUCUUAAUUCUUCUCUCAACUAUGGGAGGCAUUUUAAUGAUAGAAAAAUUUUAAUACCUUUUUGUAAGGAUGCACAAACUAAGGAUUACAAGAGCUCAGAGGAGGGGAACCUAUCUAGUCCAGAGUUCAGAGGAGUCUUCCUAAUAGAAGUAAUAUUGGCCUAAUCUUGAUGUAUACGUGAAAGGCAUUAGAGAAUAGAAGCAGUGAAACAUGCGGAAGAGGUCACCGUAUAUGUAAAGGCAUAGAGGUAAGGGAGAAUAUCACCCACUCAGAGUAUUAAAAGUAUAUAAUCGAGAAUCUAGGGUGUGUAGUAAAUUAUUUGCAAAAAUGCCCCAAGGGAGCAGAAUGGGAUGGCAAGAGAUUUCAUCAUGCUACUCAAAAAGCACACACACUUUAAAACUGACGAAUCUUUACUUCUGGAAUUUUGCAUUUACUAUUUUCAGACUGAGGUUGACUGUGAGGUAACUGAAACCACGGAAAGCAAAACUGCCAACAAGAAUGAAUAGGGAGGACCACAAGACAUUUGUCACAUUCCACCAUAGCCUACUUCCAUAUUUGAGAGGAAUAGUUGCAUCUGAGGUCAUCCGUUCUUUCAGGAUUUGGCAAACUCACUUUUAAAAUGACCUGGAAAUACAGUUUAUUAUGUCCUGUUGGUGAGUGUGCUUAUUCAGAUGGAGCCUAGACAGUUUGUGAACACUGAUUCUGCUCUUAUGGAGCUUCUUGGUACUGGCACUGAAUGGUGUGCCUUAAAGUGAAGCCUGAAUGUCUCAGAUUGAUUUCAAACAAAUGCAGCAACAAAUCAAGGUGUUCUUCCUUGGGAAGUGAUGGGUGUUUUGCCUACUGUCAAUCUCUGGAAUCAUUCUGGCUACUAUGUGGACAAAAACUGUAGCAGGUAAAGAACAGGAGCCAAGAAGCCAGUAUGGAGCCAAAGAGCAGGCCAAGUGAGGGAUGAUGACUCACUCACUGGCUAGCUGAGUGGUUCUUGGGUAUGUAGAAAUCUUCAUUUCUUCUGAAUGUUUUGACUUAGAAGCUUCCAUCUGUGACAUAAAUGGAUAAUGACUCACUCACUGGCUAGCUCAUUAGUUCUUGGGUAUGUAGAAAUCUUCAUUUCUUUUGAAUGUUUUGACUUGCAAGCUUCCAUCUGUGACAUAAACGAAAGUCUCAUUUGAUUACCAUCCAAAGCAACUAUGAGCAAAGCUACCAUCUCUGGCUUGAAGUUAUCUCCAAGUUAUUGUCUAUGAUGAAGAACAGCAUUACCAGAAUGACAAAAAGCAAAUUUUUGAUUUUAUUUUCAUCUUUUAGCCUUAUUGAAUAGAUGUUUAUAGGAAAGAGUAUUAGUAUUUAAAAGAUUUAUAUUAAUGUCUAUUAUACCUACUUAGGUCCGUGAUUGAAUUUUAUUCUUAUCUUGUAGAGAAAAGAGAGUAAAGGAUCUUAGAUGACGGACUUGGAAUUGUUGAAUCUUUUCCCUGCAGAAGGCAGUGUUUCUUGUAUGUGAGGGUCAGGUGUGUCCUGGAAACAAAUGCAAAAAGAAGACUUAACCUUCAAGAAAAUUCAUGUCUAAUUUUGGAUCUCUCAGAGCAGCAUUAAAAAAAAAUGAAAACAAAGAGUGGAAAAAGGGAGAUUAGAUAGUAGAAUAGAUUGUUGCAUCCUGGAUUUUCAUUCUUUUCUUUUAUCUCUGCAGCCUUGAGGAUUUAUUGGCACCCAUUUCAUUUGUCUUUCUCUGGAUUUAACAUUGAGGUGAUGAGAUGGAAUAUUACCUGUAUGCUUCGGAACAUCUAUGAGUGACAUGUAAUAGUUGCCUGGGAAACUAGAGAUGAAAUUCUACAGGUCUUUGAAAUGCUUUACAUUUGAGAAUGAAGCUCAGCUGAAGUUUGAACAGCAUACUGACAUAUACCAACAAGAAUGAAAAUAACUUAACAGCAAUUUUAUAAAUUCACAUCCCCCAGAGCACCACAGAGUAAAGAAAUACUGCAUAUGGGUAACAACUGGUUCUUAGUUACUAAAUCUGAAAGAUCAAAUACAGUUAAUUACAUAAGCUUCUCUUGAGUUUUUCUGGGGGAAUAUACCAGGAGACCAUAAUCAAGCAUCACCAGUGGCAUUUCAUACUGGUCCCAUGGUGUUAAUCCAGGUUUCUGGUAUUGCACUAAACACGAUGAAAAACAGGAGAGAACGGAGAGGGAUCAUGUUUUACCACAAUAUGCAAUUUAUGGGAGAGAUGAAGCGCUCAGGUGGAGAUGACUAGUGUCACGUGGUGUUUUAAGUGGAUACUCACAACGCUGGAACUCACAGCAAUAACAACAAGAGAUCCUCUAUAGACUGUUGAUGUAUAGCCAUGAGAAAAAAAAAAGAAAAAUUUUUGCUCUCAAUGAGCUUGCAUUUAAGCAUCUAUAAAAGACCCAGAGUGCAGGAGGGAUAACUGAUAUCAAAAUUCCAAGGAAAGGAUGAAAAAAGUAGGAAGAAAACCCCAAGAGUCAGGUGAGAUUAAUAUUUACUCAGUGAACUUUGAGUAAAGCAUUGGGUGCUUCAUUAUGUGGAGGAGUCUCAUCCAAUCAGUUGAAGGUGACUGAAUGGAACUAUAGAUCGACCUCACAUAAAUGAGAGGGAAUUCUGCAACAGAUCAUCUUUGCCUUUGAACUGCAGCAUGGACUCCCCUCUGGGUCUCCUGCCUGCCAGCCCACCCUGCAGAGUGCAUUUGCCAGCCUCCACAAUCAGGUAAUUUAUCCUGUGCAUUAACAAGAGGAAGUCUAGAGCCAUGGAAACCAAGUCAGGAAACUUCUCUCUUAUUAUUAGGUCCACUGCAAAUCUAGUUGAGACUGCAAAUCGAGUUUAGUCACCACCUCCGAGGAACUGUGUCCCGCAUUGGCAUUCCUUUGGCAGCUUCCACUUCUCUGUCCCCUUGAGCAAAGUUUUUCUCAGGGGAAGCCGAGCUCCAGACUAUUCAUUUGUCCUGAGGCAGCCACUUGAAACACAAUCAUUUUGUAUUUCUACGAUGUUUUGACCUUUUAUCCAAGUCAGCCCUAUAGAAUGGGCCAGGAGGUUGCUGCCACUGAAUAAGCCACUGUGAUUUUUAGCGUCAAGAAUUUUGCUGUUAACUAUGGCAGAAAAAUAGACAGAGGACAAUAAAAAUAACUAACAUAGA
rnacentral:lncRNA from 1 species